CGUAUCACCCAAGACAACUUUACGGAGUUGACGAUUGACGGAGCGAAGCGACGUCAAAGCGUUCAUUAAAGUCGAGUUGGCUUAGGGAUACGUUCGUUGGGUAGGGGAGCGUUCUGUAAGCCUGUGAAGGUGGCCUGUGAGGGUUGCUGGAGGUAUCAGAAGUGCGAAUGCUGACAUAAGUAACGAUAAAGCGGGUGAAAAGCCCGCUCGCCGGAAGACCAAGGGUUCCUGUCCAACGUUAAUCGGGGCAGGGUGAGUCGACCCCUAAGGCGAGGCCGAAAGGCGUAGUCGAUGGGAAACGGGUUAAUAUUCCCGUACUUGGUGUUACUGCGAAGGGGGGACGGAGAAGGCUAUGUUGGCCGGGCGACGGUUGUCCCGGUUUAAGCGUGUAGGUGUGUGUUCCAGGUAAAUCCGGUUCACUUUAACACUGAGGCGUGACGACGAGGCACUACGGUGCUGAAGCAACAAAUGCCCUGCUUCCAGGAAAAGCCUCUAAGCAUCAGGUAACAUCAAAUCGUACCCCAAACCGACACAGGUGGUCAGGUAGAGAAUACCAAGGCGCUUGAGAGAACUCGGGUGAAGGAACUAGGCAAAAUGGUGCCGUAACUUCGGGAGAAGGCACGCUGACAUGUAGGUGAAGUGAUUUACUCAUGGAGCUGAAGUCAGUCGAAGAUACCAGCUGGCUGCAACUGUUUAUUAAAAACACAGCACUGUGCAAACACGAAAGUGGACGUAUACGGUGUGACGCCUGCCCGGUGCCGGAAGGUUAAUUGAUGGGGUCAGCGCAAGCGAAGCUCCUGAUCGAAGCCCCGGUAAACGGCGGCCGUAACUAUAACGGUCCUAAGGUAGCGAAAUUCCUUGUCGGGUAAGUUCCGACCUGCACGAAUGGCGUAAUGAUGGCCAGGCUGUCUCCACCCGAGACUCAGUGAAAUUGAACUCGCUGUGAAGAUGCAGUGUACCCGCGGCAAGACGGAAAGACCCCGUGAACCUUUACUAUAGCUUGACACUGAACAUUGAGCCUUGAUGUGUAGGAUAGGUGGGAGGCUUUGAAGUGUGGACGCCAGUCUGCAUGGAGCCGACCUUGAAAUACCACCCUUUAAUGUUUGAUGUUCUAACGUGGACCCGUGAUCCGGGUUGCGGACAGUGUCUGGUGGGUAGUUUGACUGGGGCGGUCUCCUCCUAAAGAGUAACGGAGGAGCACGAAGGUUGGCUAAUCCUGGUCGGACAUCAGGAGGUUAGUGCAAUGGCAUAAGCCAGCUUGACUGCGAGCGUGACGGCGCGAGCAGGUGCGAAAGCAGGUCAUAGUGAUCCGGUGGUUCUGAAUGGAAGGGCCAUCGCUCAACGGAUAAAAGGUACUCCGGGGAUAACAGGCUGAUACCGCCCAAGAGUUCAUAUCGACGGCGGUGUUUGGCACCUCGAUGUCGGCUCAUCACAUCCUGGGGCUGAAGUAGGUCCCAAGGGUAUGGCUGUUCGCCAUUUAAAGUGGUACGCGAGCUGGGUUUAGAACGUCGUGAGACAGUUCGGUCCCUAUCUGCCGUGGGCGCUGGAGAACUGAGGGGGGCUGCUCCUAGUACGAGAGGACCGGAGUGGACGCAUCACUGGUGUUCGGGUUGUCAUGCCAAUGGCACUGCCCGGUAGCUAAAUGCGGAAGAGAUAAGUGCUGAAAGCAUCUAAGCACGAAACUUGCCCCGA
rnacentral:rRNA from 1 species